UAUAGGAGAGCCGGAGCCGGCUCCUCCCUCCUGCCCCGCAGCACACUGAGGAUCUCUUGCUGCAUGUGCCUGGCCCAGUGGGACCACGGGAGGGAGGGGACCCGUGAGGACACCCCAGGGACAGGUAGCACAGCACAAACAUGCGCAGCAUCACCUGUCUGGGCCCACCGAGAAGCUGGAAAGGCUUUGGGGUGCAUCCUGCAUCCACCCCCCUGUGAGAUGAGUGGCAGGGCGGCAGAAGGACAGCCAGGCAAAGAAAAGCACCCUGCAAACCAGGCAGAAUGGCUAAUAAAAAGCUGGACUAAAGACACUCCAAGAAACACUGAGCCACAGACUUGUCCUUCUUUUGUCCUGCCAGGUGCUCUUCAGAGGUGGGAACACUGCAAUCAGUCAUGUUGGCUGCCAGGUGGCCCAUAGCGAUGCUUGAGGAGCAGUUUGUCGGCGUGUGUGGUAAAGGAAGGCCCUGCAUGUCUUUGCUGUGAUGCUAUCCCAGUCCCUUGCACAAGGUUAGCUGGCUGGCAUUGCUAGGUUCUCCUCUUUAUAUUUGACUGGUUUUCUCUCUUCCCCUCCAAGAAACCAGAGAAUUCUCCACCAGAGAACAAGUUUAUUGCAAGUUUGGAUCUCCAAGCUGAGAAAGCUUCAGGGUAAGGAACUAAGACCUCUUCAGUUAGACGAAAGAUGUGCACAACCAAGCAUCAAUACAGUCGAGAAUAUUGACAUGUUUUUCUCUUUUGCCUUUAGAGGUAUUAAGAAUGAAAGGUCAGGUUCAGCCUUGAUGUAAAGCUAUUUGCUUUGGGUUUUGCUGGGUAUGACUCUGACAUAGCGGUUCCACAUUGCCGGCGGUGAGGCAGUGGGUGCAAGAAGAGGGGAACUGCCUGCACCCAGGAACUGGAACUAACCACAUCCAAAGGAGACAACAGAGAAGUGUCAUGAGAACCACAGCUCUGUGAGUUCCUCAUCACAACACUUCCCUUGGUUUCAACAGGGCAACGUGAGGUCACAAUCAUGAGAUGCUCCUCUCUAAAGAGCUGCGGGUGCCAGCGCACGUCCACAUGGCACACUCGGUUUCCUGUCUAUGUGGCUUCACAUCCAGCUUGCAGUUAGCUUAGGGAUGUCUCGAGGCAUUACGGCUGAUGGCUGUAUUUAUGAGCCUUACUUGAACUCAUCUGAGUAAGGUUUUUGCACUCAUACAGCACCCAGCACCUCAGGGCAGCUUCACAGACCCUGGUCCAAGGUAGUGCAAGCUCUAAAAGUAAUAAUGAACUCUAAUCCCAGGCUGUAAGGCAGUGUAGCUUUGCAGAGGAGGUGAUGGGAGAAAGCACAGAGAUGGAGAAUGUGGGUGAGACAAUACACCAGGCACUACUAAUGGGUUCAUCCAGCAAAUGUUGAGAGAAGCUUUGAUUUUCUGCUUGGGUGUUUUCUUAAGGUUUAAUGCAAAAAAUAUAUUAACAAACUAGUAAA